rnacentral:rRNA from 1 species
UACGUAGGGUGCAAGCGUUGUCCGGAAUUAUUGGGCGUAAAGAGCUCGUAGGUGGUCUGUCGCGCGGCUGUGAAAACUCGGGGCUCAACCCCGAGCCUGCAGUCGAUACGGGCAGACUUGAGUGCGGUAGGGGAGACUGGAAUUCCUGGUGUAGCGGUGAAAUGCGCAGAUAUCAGGAGGAACACCGGCGGCGAAGGCGGGUCUCUGGGCCGUAACUGACACUGAGGAGCGAAAGCGUGGGGAGCGAACAGG